CGCCGUUCGACUACUGACCAUGCGGCGGUCGGCCAUCUUGGAUCCUUUGUUCCCUCAGCGGUGUUAGGUCAUCGAGCGCAUGGUACUAAAAAUGGCUACUCAAUGGCACGAACACCGCUGAGCCUCCAGGCCGUUCGGGAGUUCCGGGCCGUUCGGUACUUUGUUCCCUGGAAGGCAAUCGGUCCUUUAAACAUGUAUUUUAAUAAAUGUGUUUUUCGUGCGGCG